GACGAACGCUGGCGGCGUGCCUAAUACAUGCAAGUCGAACGCUUUGAUUUUCACCGGAGCUUGCUCCACCGAAAAUCAAAGAGUGGCGGACGGGUGAGUAACACGUGGGCAACCUGCCCAACAGAGGGGGAUAACACUUGGAAACAGGUGCUAAUACCGCAUAAUUUGUUUUCCCGCAUGGGAGAAUAAUAAAAGACGCUUCGGUGUCACUGUUGGAUGGGCCCGCGCUGCAUUAGUUAGUUGGUGGGGUAAUGGCCUACCAAGACCGUGAUGCAUAGCCGACCUGAGAGGGUGAUCGGCCACACUGGGACUGAGACACGGCCCAGACUCCUACGGGAGGCAGCAGUAGGGAAUCUUCGGCAAUGGACGAAAGUCUGACCGAGCAACGCCGCGUGAGUGAAGAAGGUUUUCGGAUCGUAAAACUCUGUUGUUAGAGAAGAACAAGUGGGAGAGUAACUGUUCCCACCUUGACGGUAUCUAACCAGAAAGCCACGGCUAACUACGUGCCAGCAGCCGCGGUAAUACGUAGGUGGCAAGCGUUGUCCGGAUUUAUUGGGCGUAAAGCGAGCGCAGGCGGUUUCUUAAGUCUGAUGUGAAAGCCCUCGGCUCAACCGAGGAAGGUCAUUGGAAACUGGGGAACUUGAAUGCAGAAGAGGAGAGUGGAAUUCCAUGUGUAGCGGUGAAAUGCGUAGAUAUAUGGAGGAACACCAGUGGCGAAGGCGACUCUCUGGUCUGUAAUUGACGCUGAGCUCGAAAGCGUGGGGAGCAAACAGG
rnacentral:rRNA from 1 species